rnacentral:rRNA from 1 species
CACGUAGGAUCCAAGCGUUAUCCGGAUUUACUGGGCGUAAAGGGUGUGCAGGUGGUCUGUUAAGUUGGGUGUUAAAUCUCUUGGCUCAACUGGGAGGUGUCGCUACAAACUAACAGACGUGGAAGGACGGUAGAGGAAGGUGGAAUUCCGGGUGUAGUGGUGAAAUGCGUAGAUAUCCGGAGGAACACCAGUGGCGAAGGCGACCUUCUGGACCGCUCCUGACACUCAUACACGAAAGCUAGGGGAGCAAACGGGAGUUAGAAACC